AGGAAAAUACCUAAUAAAUUUUUUUUAAAAAAAAAGAAAGUUUUUUUAAAAUUAUAUGUGAGUGAUUACUCAAGUUAUCUAAACUGCCAAGUUACUCAAUGAGACCCCACUUUCCUAUUGAGUCUGUUCACCUGGAGUGCCUUCUCUCCUUCCAUGCAUGUCUCUAGGUUUUGCCUAUGGAGUUCUUUGUUGGUGCUUCUCUGAUGUUCUACAAUAUAACGGUAUAGGCUUUUAUUGAAUUACAAAAAAAAAUAGUGGAUGACUAUUGAUGAAGAAGAAUAUGUGUAUUUACUCAGAACAAAACCUAAGUGAAUUGUCUGAGAGAACCAAAUUCCAGCUGUUGGUUGCCUAGGACCAUGUUAUUGGUGGGUGAGGUGCAGGGUCACCUUGUAAUCACCUUGAAGUGAUGAUAAACACAAAUCAUGCUAAGUUAAAGUUUCCCAAAGAAUAAUUUAUUUCCUGGUUAUUAAGCAGCUAUUUCUGUAAUAAAGGAUUAUCUAUGAAAUUAUAAGUUGGUAUUUUGUUGAAAUGAAAUGACCUAAAUCUAAGAAGCUCAGGGAGUUUUUAAAUAUUUAAAAUCCUAAUUUUUGCUGUAUUGGAAAUGGCAAGAGAAGAAGAUAUAGUGACCAUGGUUUUUGUAAGGUUUUAAAAGUUGGAUAAUUUUAUCUGUUAGCUUUUAUAGUUAUAUCUAAAGCAACUGAAAAUAGUCAUUAUCAUGGCAGAUUAAAUAUCAUUAUUAUAUUAUUUUAUUUUAUUUUAUUUUUGGUCUUUUGAGACAGAGUUUCUCUGUGUAGCCCUGGCUGUCCUGGAACUCACUUUGUAGACCAGGCUGGCCUCAAACUCAGAAAUCCACCUGCCUCUGACUCCCAAGUACUAGGAUUAAGGUCAUGUACCACCACUGCCCGACUCACUAAAUAAUUUUAAAAAUACCAAAAUGGCAAUAAUGUAAAAUUAAAGUGAGACUUUUAAAAUAUGUACUUAAUAGUUAGCUUGAGUCUGAAAUGGCAUCUCCUACCCAUAAUCUUAACACUCUACAGACUUAGAAAAAAGAAUUAUUAGAAGUUCAAGGCAUACCAAAUUAUAAGUGAGACAUAUAAAAAAUGCAAAUAAAAAAUAAAUAAGCAAUAAUUUUCAUUACAUCUUUUCUGCAUCAUUUUCACCUGCUGAAUUUCAAGUGGAAUUUCUUGCCACUGUUCAUUAGAAGAGAAAAAUUCCACACAUGCCCAGAUAAUAUAUCUAGUUACUAGCAGUCACUCUCUGAAGCACUGCUAUUGAUAAACAUUCUGUUAAAUUUGAAUUCUCGAUGGUUAAGCCAUUCCCCUACUAUGGUUGUUUUCUAACCUUUCUUUUAUAGAUGAGCGACACAGAACAGACAAUUCAGUCACUCUGAUAAAUCAACAAAUCCCUGCUUGCAAAGCUCCAUCUCUCCCAUUUUUCCUUGCCAAAUCUUUUAUCUUCCUUUGUUGUUAACAGGAUCAGAGAGAUUACCAAAGUAUGGAAAGGUGGGCUGCCUUUUUCUAUAAUUUCAAGACAAAUAAUCUUGAUUUGAAAAUGUGAAAUGGUAGCAAAGAAGGAGAACAAUGGUCAUGUGUACAGAAAUCUAAGAAUUUAAUUCAGAUUCCUUGUAUUCUUCUCAUUGACUAUGCAAACAUAACCUGAUGUAUGAAUCUGAAAUUUUAAAGAAAGCCUAUUUUAUUGUCUAUUUUAGUUAUAUCUAAAAUGACUCUACUUCCCUCUUAUUUUUAUUUUUUGUCAUCAUUUCCAUUCUAUGAAACACAAAUAAAUAAAACAUUUUUUUCCAGUUCAGGAACACCAAAUUUGUAAGGAAUUUAUUACUCCUUUUUUAUUAAUUGUAAACAGACCCAGAUGCUAAUCACUGAAUUUAUGUUUUUGUUUUUUAAAUUCUUUAUUUUCCCUUUGGAAAAUAUACAUAAAAAUAAUAUAUGGGUAAGAGACCCAUAUAGUGUAACUUCAGCAGAAUACUUUGAAAACUUUAUUUAUUGGCUUCAAUACAUACAUUGAAUCUGAGUAUCAAGGAAUGCCUAGAGUUUUAAGCAGAGUAAAGCUCUGAAGUAUCAUAUUGUCUAAUGUAACAAUUUAAUUUAGUUUUGAUUGUUGUCCAAAUCCCUAGAAUACAGUAAGAAUGUCAGGAUUUUUCAGCUAUAUAUGUUUUCUUGAAGUUGUAAUUCAUACAGAUUUAAUGUUAUAUUUUAUGGCAAUAAUUAUGACUAAAUUCUUUCCAACUGAUUUGACUAACCAUUACUGCCUGUGAAAAAGAGUUUAAAAUUUUUAUAGCUUUCAUUAUUAGAAAAUAUAGGAUCUUAAUAAUUCCAUAUUCAUGACUCCUGGUUCUUAAUUUAAAUAACUGAUUUAUCCUGUUGAAAUGGAAGAUCUUUGAACAGCACUGGAAAAGUGAAAUAAUAUAAAUGUUUUCCACUAUUGAAUAAAAGCAACUUAAAUUUUCUAAGUCGGUCCUUAAAACUUACUAUACUGAAGGAAUAUAAUAAAAUAAGCUGGUGAAUGAGCUGGACUAGAUAUUUGAUCAUUUAAUCUAAGAAACACGUGCUUUCUGAAAGUAGUUGCAGUUCUAUGAUGCAUUUAUUCAAUUGGAAUAGGGGCUGUAUACCUAAGUGAGCAUAAUUAGGUGGAUAGGAGUUAGGUCUCUUAUAGAAGAAUAAAGAGGUAUGCGGGCCAUAAACUCCCUCUGAUCAAUUUCUAGAGAGCACAUUGUUUUGUCUGUGUGGGUGAGGGUGAUCAGACCGAUAGACAUUGAAUUGGGAUGAAAUGUUUUCCUAACUUCUGUGGUUUCUUUACUUCAUUCCUCCAUAGUUCUAUUAAUAAUUUUGAAUAUGAGAUAUUGAAAUACAUUAUAAAUGUGAACAGUUUGGUUGGGUUCAAUCAUGGAAUCAGUAAAUUAUAUACUUAUAAAUUAAGUUGCCAAUAUCUUAGAAAACCAUGUAAACAUAUUAAAAACAAGCUUAGAUUCAUUAGCGGCCUGUUCUGGAGUCUGGCCCACACUAGGCUAACAUUCAACCAGUACAGAGCUACAGCCAUCGAGUACUCUUGACUGUGGACCUUAAGGUGAGGUCCCACUAAAUUACUCAGACUUGUUUGAACUCAUUCUGUGUCCUAGGGAGGACUUUAGGUUCCUCCUUUCUCAGCAUGACCUAGCUGAAAAAAUCAUGGUAGUACUUUUAAGUUUAGACUUUUUUUUUUUGUAAAGUCGUUCUUAUAUCCAUUAGUUCAUUUUUAAUCUUCUGGAGAAAGAAACAAGUCAAGAAGAGAUGAAAGGCCUUGCACCAUUAGUCGAGAGAAGUGUACCCUUCCAUCUGCUUUGUUACAAAUAAUAACACACUGGAAAACAAUGCUCCAAUUAUUACAUACUAUGUAAGGCCAAGUACAAUGUUGGAUUAGGCAUUGUAUUAUGUGGAUCACACUUUAAUUAACCAUGGACAUAAUCAAGUAUUUAAAUCACUUAUUUUGAUUUACUUGGUCUUAAUUCACUCUGUUUAUUAGUCUAUUACCAUUUGUUAGCUUUGAUUAAAUAUGUUACUUAAUUUUUCUCACUAGUGAAGACACCAUAGAGUAUGAAACUUAUUGUAACUCUUUUUAAGUCAGUGUCAUUUGUGAACAUUGAAUCCAUUGAUUUUAGGUAUUCACAUACAAAAUUAAAAAAAAUAAAUGAAGAACUAUUUUCUUGUGUUUAGAACUAAGAACGUCCAUUUUAUGAGAUAAUUAGUUUAUGGUAUGCUUUUAUGUUUUGGCUUCAAAUGCAUUUUCUUAUUAUCAGCAAGAUGUUUCUCAGAUGCACUGAAUUCUCCUUUUCUGAGAAGAUAAGUGACUGCAUCUAUCUUCUAUGUCUUUCUUUGUGUGUGCAGAAAGUGAAAAUGCUCAUUCAUAAUAAGAAAAUGUAAGUCUGCUAGGCACCAAGGUUUUAAUAUUUAAUUUUCCACAUUAUAAAGCAGACUCUUCUCUGCCAUCCCAUAAAUGCAGAAAUGGAUAAGAUUAAUUAAACAUUAAAUCAUUAUUCUUC
rnacentral:lncRNA from 1 species